rfam:Bradyrhizobium erythrophlei strain GAS478 genome assembly, contig: Ga0132009_12
GAAGGAAGACCCUUCGGAGCCGUCCUGUAGGGGGAGGCUUCAAACUGCCAUAAGCUGCUUCGGUCAAAAGCCGCGGUGGUGAACGUUAUGGUCAAAAGGCGUGACGUUGAUCACGUCAAGU